AAACUGAGCCACUGACCACUCUGACCUGAAAUACUUUGGCAAUACACCUUUCAAAAUGGAAAGAGAUGAAAUGCCUAAACCAUUAGAAUGGUUUGGUUCAGAUGCAACACGUGAUCUAUCAUUCGCCAAUAUCAUCAAACCUGAAUCAACCUUGAGGCUGAAUACAUGGACAGUUCCCUUCUCACUUGAGACAGCUAACCACUGAGCAUUAGAAGAGAAUGCAAGACUAUAUAUUUCAGCUCUAUCUACACCUCUCCUAACCUGAUAUUAGAGGCUCAAAAAGUGGUCAACAGUUAGCAAAUAGCAUUAGAAGUUCAAAUAGACAGGAAAUUGAAUUUUUUUUUUCUUUUCUCCAUGACAUAAACUAACAAAUUAAAUGAUGGCUCACCUAAAUAACCAAAAAAUGGAAAAAAAAUAAAUAAAUACAGAUAUUAACAUGGACAAUGCAUUCGACUAAAAAUCAAUGGGAGAUAAUCUCACACCCCAGAAAAAGUUGAACUUUUAAGCUCUUAAUACCUUCAAAAAAAUUGAGCUCAAUCGUUUCUCACGUCACUAUAUUAUUUCAACUAUGAAUGAAAUUCAACAUCAACAAUUAAGCCUUAAUCUAAAACUAAUAAGGGUCAAGUUCUAUGGAUUUUUUGGCCAAUCAGCUCUGUUGGACAUAAGUUUGUCUCAAUAUCAAAAGCUAGGAUACUUUUUUUUAUGCAAAAUACACAUUAAACAGUAAAAGAAUUAAACAUAGGUGAAAAACAAGUUCCAAAGCUUGAUACUUGAUAACACAAAAUUCUCCAAACUCACAGAGGUAUCCGUACACUUGCAACUAUAAGCCCAUGAAACCCAUGAAUAAACAUAGAGUCUGCACUUAACAGCACACAUAUAUGGGUAACAGUAUUAAUGCAGUAUGGGAAGAUAGAUUUAGGAAUGAGAAAAUAGAAUUUAGGAAUUAUUCUCAU
rnacentral:misc_RNA from 1 species